CACCGCCGCGGUAAUACGGAGGGUGCAAGCGUUAAUCGGAAUUACUGGGCGUAAAGCGCACGCAGGCGGUCUGACAAGUCAGAUGUGAAAUCCCCGGGCUUAACCUGGGAACUGCAUUUGAAACUGUCAGGCUGGAGUCUUGUAGAGGGGGGUGGAAUUCCAGGUGUAGCGGUGAAAUGCGUAGAGAUCUGGAGGAAUACCGGUGGCGAAGGCGGCCCCCUGGACAAAGACUGACGCUCAGGUGCGAAAGCGUGGGGAGCAAACAGGAUUAGAUACCCCGGUAGUCCCUGUCUCUUAUACA
rnacentral:rRNA from 1 species